rnacentral:rRNA from 1 species
AGCGGCGGACGGGUGAGUAACGCGUGGGCAACCUGCCCUGUACACACGGAUAACAUACCGAAAGGUAUGCUAAUACGAGAUAAUAUGCUUUUAUCGCAUGGUAGAAGUAUCAAAGCUCCGGCGGUACAGGAUGGACCCGCGUCUGAUUAGCUAGUUGGUAAGGUAGCGGCUUACCAAGGCGACGAUCAGUAGCCGACCUGAGAGGGUGAUCGGCCACAUUGGAACUGAGACACGGUCCAAACUCCUACGGGAGGCAGCAGUGGGGAAUAUUGCACAAUGGGCGAAAGCCUGAUGCAGCAACGCCGCGUGAGCGAUGAAGGCCUUCGGGUCGUAAAGCUCUGUCCUCAAGGAAGAUAAUGACGGUACUUGAGGAGGAAGCCCCGGCUAACUACGUGCCAGCAGCCGCGGUAAUACGUAGGGGGCUAGCGUUAUCCGGAAUUAUUGGGCGUAAAGGGUGCGUAGGUGGUUUCUUAAGUCAGAGGUGAAAGGCUACGGCUCAACCGUAGUAAGCCUUUGAAACUGGGAAACUUGAGUGCAGGAGAGGAGAGUGGAAUUCCUAGUGUAGCGGUGAAAUGCGUAGAUAUUAGGAGGAACACCAGUUGCGAAGGCGGCUCUCUGGACUGUAACUGACACUGAGGCACGAAAGCGUGGGGAGCAAACAGGAUUAGAUACCCUGGUCGUCCACGCCGUAAACGAUGAGUACUAGCUGU